rnacentral:lncRNA from 1 species
GCGGCGGGCUGGGACACGUCGCCGGAAUCUGCGUGCCGUUGUACACAUACACCGCAGACGGCACCGCGCCGCACAUCAGCGAGUUGCCGCUGAGGUCCACACGGAACAGACCCGUCAGCACGCUCCAGCCAGAGGGAACAGGCCCGGUUAGCAGAUUCCCGCUCAAGUCCAGCGUGCGCAGGUUGCUCAGCGCAGACCACUCGGCAGGCAGCUGGCCAGAGUACCGGUUGCCCAGCAGCUCCAGGCGAGUCAGAGACGUCAGGACACUCCACGACCGCGGUAACGUGCCCGUCAGGCUGUUGUUGGUGGCGCGAAUGGUGCUCAGGCUGGACACGAACGCCCACGACUCCGGCAAGGAGCCCGUGAGGUUGCGCUGGUUCAGCACCACCGUGGUGGGCUGUCCUGCCGUGCACGACACGCCCGUCCACGCAGCCGUGCAGGGGUCGCUGCUGGUGUUCCAGCCCAGAAUCGCAGCCGGCAACGGACUGGCCGUCACCCGCAGGUCCGCAAGCGCAUAGCCAAACGAAGGCGGAGGUGGAGACGGAGGCGCCGGCGAUGGAGGGGCAGGGCUGGGAGGCGCAGGGCUGGGAGGCACAGGAGGCGGAGACGGCGGGGACGGGCACGCCAGACCAACCUGCGUGCCGCUGCUCGUCACCGGACUGCCAGCAGCCCACGGCGUGGGGAUGCUGCCACACAGUGCGCCGUUAUUGUCCAGCCACAGGAGCUGCAGCGCGCCCAUGCCGCCAGGACCAGCCCAGGCGGCCGGAAUGGUCGAGUAGAAGCCGUUGCCCGACAGGUCCAGCUCCGUCAGACGCGUCAGCGCGGACCAAGACACAGGCAGCAGGCCGCCGAGGCCCGGCCCGUUGUUGGCCACGCUGACGUACUCCAGCUGCGUCAUCUGGGAGUACGAGUCCGGAAGCGUGCCCGUCAGCGUGUUGCCGCUCAACGUCACUGAGCGCAGCGUGCGCACUUGCACCAGGCUGGCCGGCAGGGGGCCAGCCAGCCGCGGCGAGGUGGACGGCAGGCUCAGGUCCACCACGUUGCCGCUGCCGUCGCAGCUGACGCCGUACCAGCUGGUGCAUGGGUUCGGAUGCAUCACGUCGUCCCAUGUGCUGAGCGCCGUGGAGUUGCCCAGCUCGUAUUUGACCUGCAGCAGCGCGUUGGCUGCAGUGGGCGGAGCGGGCGGCGCCGGGCUGGGCGGCGCGGGGCUGGGCGGCCGCGGGCUAGGCGGGUCCGGGCUGGGUGGCGUGGGGCUGGGUGGUGCCGGGCUGGGCGGUACAGGCGGCGCGGGGCUGGGCGGCACGGGCGAAGGGGGCGCCGGUGAGGGCGGAGGAGAUGGCGCUGGCGGCUCCGGGCUGGGCGGCAUGGGGGACGGCGGCUCUGGGCUGGGCGGUGCAGGUGAAGGGGGCGCUGGAGACGGCGGCACAGGAGGCGCAGGGCUCGGCGGUACCGGAGGUGCCGGUGACGGUGGCUCUGGGCUGGGCGGUGCAGGUGAAGGGGGCGCUGGAGGCGCAGGGCUGGGAGGAACAGGCGGCGCAGGGCUCGGGGGCGCUGGGCUGGGCGGCACAGGCGACGGAGGUGGGCUGGGAGGCGUAGGCGGAGGCGGCGGGCUGGGACACGUCGCCGGAAUCUGCGUGCCGUUGUACACAUACACCGCAGACGGCACCGCGCCGCACAUCAGCGAGUUGCCACUGAGGUCCACGCGGAACAGACCCGUCAGCACGCUCCAGCCAGAUGGAACAGGCCCGGUCAGCAGAUUCCCGCUCAGGUCCAGCGUGCGCAGGUUGCUCAGCGCAGACCACUCGGCAGGCAGCUGGCCAGAGUACCGGUUGCCCAGCAGCUCCAGGCGAGUCAGAGACGUCAGGACACUCCACGACCGCGGUAACGUGCCCGUCAGGCUGUUGUUGGUGGCGCGAAUGGUGCUCAGGCUGGACACGAACGCCCACGACUCCGGCAAGGAGCCCGUGAGGUUGCGCUGGUUCAGCACCACCGUGGUGGGCUGUCCUGCCGUGCACGACACGCCCGUCCACGCAGCCGUACAGGGGUCGCUGCUGGUGUUCCAGCCCAGAAUCGCAGCCGGCAACGGACUGGCCGUCACCCGCAGGUCCGCAAGCGCAUAGCCAAACGAAGGCGGAGGUGGAGACGGAGGCGCCGGCGACGGAGGGGCAGGGCUGGGAGGCGCAGGGCUGGGAGGCACAGGAGGCGGAGACGGCGGGGACGGGCACGCCAGACCAACCUGCGUGCCGCUGCUCGUCACCGGACUGCCAGCAGCCCACGGCGUGGGGAUGCUGCCACACAGUGCGCCGUUGUUGUCCAGCCACAGAAGCUGCAGCGCGCCCAUGCCGCCAGGACCAGCCCAGGCGGCCGGAAUGGUCGAGUAGAAGCCGUUGCCCGACAGGUCCAGCUCCGUCAGACGCGUCAGCGCGGACCAAGACACAGGCAGCAGGCCGCCGAGGCCCGGCCCGUUGUUGGCCACGCUGACGUACUCCAGCUGCGUCAUCUGGGAGUACGAGUCCGGAAGCGUGCCCGUCAGCGUGUUGCCGCUCAACGUCACUGAGCGCAGCGUGCGCACUUGCACCAGGCUGGCCGGCAGGGGGCCAGCCAGCCGCGGCGAGGUGGACGGCAGGCUCAGGUCCACCACGUUGCCGCUGCCGUCGCAGCUGACGCCGUACCAGCUGGUGCAUGGGUUCGGAUGCAUCACGUCGUCCCACGUGCUGAGCGCCGUGGAGUUGCCCAGCUCGUAUUUGACCUGCAGCAGCGCGUUGGCUGCAGUGGGCGGAGCGGGCGGCGCCGGGCUGGGCGGCGCGGGGCUGGGCGGCCGCGGGCUAGGCGGGUCCGGCCUGGGUGGCGUGGGGCUGGGUGGUGCCGGGCUGGGCGGUACAGGCGGCGCGGGGCUGGGCGGCACGGGCGAAGGGGGCGCCGGUGAGGGCGGAGGAGAUGGCGCUGGCGGCUCCGGGCUGGGCGGCAUGGGGGACGGCGGCUCUGGGCUGGGCGGUGCAGGUGACGGGGGCGCUGGAGACGGCGGCACAGGAGGCGCAGGGCUCGGCGGUACCGGAGGUGCCGGUGACGGUGGCUCUGGGCUGGGCGGUGCAGGUGAAGGGGGCGCUGGAGGCGCAGGGCUGGGAGGAACAGGCGGCGCAGGGCUCGGGGGCGCUGGGCUGGGCGGCUCCGGAGAAGGCGGCACAGGAGGCGCAGGGCUGGGAGGAACAGGCGGCGCAGGGCUCGGAGGCGCUGGGCUGGGCGGCACAGGCGACGGAGGCGGGCUGGGAGGCGUAGGCGGAGGCGGCGGGCUGGGACACGUCGCCGGAAUCUGCGUGCCGUUGUACACAUACACCGCAGACGGCACCGGGCCGCACAUCAGCGAGUUGCCACUGAGGUCCACGCGGAACAGACCCGUCAGCACGCUCCAGCCAGAGGGAACAGGCCCGGUCAACAGAUUCCCACUCAGGUCCAGCGUGCGCAGGUUGCUCAGCGCAGACCACUCGGCAGGCAGCUGGCCAGAGUACCGGUUGCCCAGCAGCUCCAGGCGAGUCAGAGACGUCAGGACACUCCACGACCGCGGUAACGUGCCCGUCAGGCUGUUGUUGGUGGCGCGAAUGGUGCUCAGGCUGGACACGAACGCCCACGACUCCGGCAAGGAGCCCGUGAGGUUGCGCUGGUUCAGCACCACCGUGGUGGGCUGUCCUGCCGUGCACGACACGCCCGUCCACGCAGCCGUACAGGGGUCGCUGCUGGUGUUCCAGCCCAGAAUCGCAGCCGGCAACGGACUGGCCGUCACCCGCAGGUCCGCAAGCGCAUAGCCAAACGAAGGCGGAGGUGGAGACGGAGGCGCCGGCGACGGAGGGGCAGGGCUGGGAGGCGCAGGGCUGGGAGGCACAGGAGGCGGAGACGGCGGGGACGGGCACGCCAGACCAACCUGCGUGCCGCUGCUCGUCACCGGACUGCCAGCAGCCCACGGCGUGGGGAUGCUGCCACACAGUGCGCCGUUGUUGUCCAGCCACAGGAGCUGCAGCGCGCCCAUGCCGCCAGGACCAGCCCAGGCGGCCGGAAUGGUCGAGUAGAAGCCGUUGCCCGACAGGUCCAGCUCCGUCAGACGCGUCAGCGCGGACCAAGACACAGGCAGCAGGCCGCCGAGGCCCGGCCCGUUGUUGGCCACGCUGACGUACUCCAGCUGCGUCAUCUGGGAGUACGAGUCCGGAAGCGUGCCCGUCAGCGUGUUGCCGCUCAACGUCACUGAGCGCAGCGUGCGCACUUGCACCAGGCUGGCCGGCAGGGGGCCAGCCAGCCGCGGCGAGGUGGACGGCAGGCUCAGGUCCACCACGUUGCCGCUGCCGUCGCAGCUGACGCCGUACCAGCUGGUGCAUGGGUUCGGAUGCAUCACGUCGUCCCACGUGCUGAGCGCCGUGGAGUUGCCCAGCUCGUAUUUGACCUGCAGCAGCGCGUUGGCUGCAGUGGGCGGAGCGGGCGGCGCCGGGCUGGGCGGCGCGGGGCUGGGCGGCCGCGGGCUAGGCGGGUCCGGGCUGGGUGGCGUGGGGCUGGGUGGUGCCGGGCUGGGCGGUACAGGCGGCGCCGGGCUGGGCGGCACGGGCGAAGGGGGCGCCGGUGAGGGCGGAGGAGAUGGCGCUGGCGGCUCCGGGCUGGGCGGUGCAGGUGAAGGGGGCGCUGGAGACGGCGGAACAGGAGGCGCAGGGCUCGGCGGUACCGGAGGUGCCGGUGACGGUGGCUCUGGGCUGGGCGGUGCAGGUGAAGGGGGCGCUGGAGGCGCAGGGCUGGGAGGAACAGGCGGCGCAGGGCUCGGGGGCGCUGGGCUGGGCGGCUCCGGAGAAGGCGGCACAGGAGGCGCAGGGCUGGGAGGAACAGGCGGCGCAGGGCUCGGAGGCGCUGGGCUGGGCGGCACAGGCGACGGAGGCGGGCUGGGAGGCGUAGGCGGAGGCGGCGGGCUGGGACACGUCGCCGGAAUCUGCGUGCCGUUGUACACAUACACCGCAGACGGCACCGGGCCGCACAUCAGCGAGUUACCACUGAGGUCCACGCGGAACAGACCCGUCAGCACGCUCCAGCCAGAGGGAACAGGCCCGGUCAACAGAUUCCCGCUCAGGUCCAGCGUGCGCAGGUUGCUCAGCGUAGACCACUCGGCAGGCAGCUGGCCAGAGUACCGGUUGCCCAGCAGCUCCAGGCGAGUCAGAGACGUCAGGACACUCCACGACCGCGGUAACGUGCCCGUCAGGCUGUUGUUGGUGGCGCGAAUGGUGCUCAGGCUGGACACGAACGCCCACGACUCCGGCAAGGAGCCCGUGAGGUUGCGCUGGUUCAGCACCACCGUGGUGGGCUGUCCUGCCGUGCACGACACGCCCGUCCACGCAGCCGUGCAGGGGUCGCUGCUGGUGUUCCAGCCCAGAAUCGCAGCCGGCAACGGACUGGCCGUCACCCGCAGGUCCGCAAGCGCAUAGCCAAACGAAGGCGGAGGUGGAGACGGAGGCGCCGGCGACGGAGGGGCAGGGCUGGGAGGCGCAGGGCUGGGAGGCACAGGAGGCGGAGACGGCGGGGACGGGCACGCCAGACCAAUCUGCGUGCCGCUGCUCGUCAC